rnacentral:ncRNA from 2 species
ACAUUUGCAGAAAAUUAGGGUUUUGUUCUUUCUGAGAACAAAUUAAAAGGGAAUUCGGUUAAAUACCGAAGCUGUUCCCGCAACUGUAAGUUUAUGCUGAAUUUAUUUCAGCACUUCAUUAGAAGAUGUUAUUAGCUCUUUUACCACUGACAUAUAUGUUGGGAAGGUAUAAUAACAUAAAGCAAGCCAGGAGACCUGCCUCGAUUUUUAAACAAUU